AGUGGGGAAUAUUGGACAAUGGGCGAAAGCCUGAUCCAGCCAUGCCGCGUGUGUGAAGAAGGUCUUCGGAUUGUAAAGCACUUUAAGUUGGGAGGAAGGGCAGUAAGUUAAUACCUUGCUGUUUUGACGUUACCGACAGAAUAAGCACCGGCUAACUUCGUGCCAGCAGCCGCGGUAAUACGAAGGGUGCAAGCGUUAAUCGGAAUUACUGGGCGUAAAGCGCGCGUAGGUGGUUUUGUAAGUUGGAGGUGAAAUCCCCGGGCUCAACCUGGGAACUGCCUCCAAAACUGCAUGACUAGAGUACGGUAGAGGGUGGUGGAAUUUCCUGUGUAGCGGUGAAAUGCGUAGAUAUAGGAAGGAACACCAGUGGCGAAGGCGACCACCUGGACUGAUACUGACACUGAGGUGCGAAAGCGUGGGGAGCAAA
rnacentral:rRNA from 1 species